rnacentral:rRNA from 1 species
GUCUUUUUGAUUAUAAUUUAAGGUUUAAUCUGCUCAAUGAUAGAUUAAAUAGCCGCAGUAUUUUGACUGUGCGAAGGUAGCAUGAUAAUUAGUUUAUUAAUUGUAAACUUGUAUGAAUGAUUGGACGAGAAAAUUUCUGUCUCUUUUUAAUUUUUUAUUUAAUUUAACUUUUAAGUUAAAAGGCUUAAAUUUAUGUUAAAGACGAGAAGACCCCAUAGAGUUUAAUUUUUUAUAAUAUUUAGAAAAAAUAAUUAAAUAAUAAAAAUUAGUUGGGGUGACUUAAAGAUUUAAUUAACUCUUUAAAUUAAAAUCAUAGAUUAGUGAAUUUUAAAUCUGGAGAUUUUCAAUUUUAAAUUAAGUUACCUUGGGGAUAACAGCGUAAUUUCUUUUAGAGUUCUUAUCGAAGAAGAAGAUUGCGACCUCGAUGUUGGAUUAAAGAAAAAAUAAGGCGCAGAAGUCUUAUUAUUAAGUCUGUUCGACUUUUUAAACUUU